GAAUUUUGGACAAUGGGCGAAAGCCUGAUCCAGCAAUGCCGCGUGCAGGAUGAAGGCCUUCGGGUUGUAAACUGCUUUUGUACGGAACGAAAAGCUUUUGGUUAAUACCCUGGAGUCCUGCAGGUACCGUCAGAAUAAGCAACGGCUACAUCCGUGCCAGGCGCCGCGGUAAUACGUCGGGUGCAAGCGUUAAUCGGAAUUUCUGGGCGUAAAGCUUGCGCAGGCGUUUUUGUAAGACAGAGGUGAAAUCCCCGGGCUCAACCUGGGAACUGCCUUUGUGACUGCAAGGCUAGAGUACGGCAGAGGGGGGUGGAAUUCCGCGUGUAGCAGUGAAAUGCGUAGAUAUGCGGAGGAACACCGAUGGCGAAGGCAACCCCCUGGGCCUGUACUGACGCUCAUGCACGAAAGCGUGGGGAGCAAACA
rnacentral:rRNA from 1 species